CAGGGGAUAGUUUAAUUAAAAUAUUAAUUUUGGAGAUUAAUGAUAAAAGUUAUAUUUUUCCUCUGA
rnacentral:tRNA from 1 species